rnacentral:rRNA from 1 species
UACGGGAGGCAGCAGUGGGGAAUAUUGCACAAUGGGCGCAAGCCUGAUGCAGCCAUGCCGCGUGUAUGAAGAAGGCCUUCGGGUUGUAAAGUACUUUCAGUCGUGAGGAAGGUGUUAAGGUUAAUAACCUUAGCAAUUGACGUUAGCGACAGAAGAAGCACCGGCUAACUCCGUGCCAGCAGCCGCGGUAAUACGGAGGGUGCGAGCGUUGUCCGGAUUUAUUGGGUUUAAAGGGUGCGUAGGCGGCUUUUUUAAGUCUGGGGUGAAAGCCCGCUGCUCAACAGCGGAACUGCCCUGGAUACUGGAGAACUUGAGUACAGACGAGGUUGCGGAAUGGACUGAGUAGCGGUGAAAUGCAUAGAUACAGUCCAGAACCCCGAUUGCGAAGGCAGCUGACUAGGCUGUUACUGACGCUGAGGCACGAAAGCGUGGGGAGCGAACAGGAUUAAGAAUACC